GAAGUUCUAGGAAUCCACAUUUUGGAACUGUGGAAAGAACUAGAGUCUUGCAGUGGGGUUGUCUAUCUCUUUAUCUCUCCAAGCAUUUGUAGGAUAUGUACCUAUUUGCCAGAUACCACGUUAAAUGCAGGAGGCAAUACAAAGAUGUACAAGAUAUUGCCCCUUCCCUCAAGGCACACUGAAUACUCUGCCUGUCACAUAAGCGACACAACACCAAGUCAUAAUAUAUCUCACAGAAGAGACACCAAGAGCCACAGAAAUCCAGAGAAGGGAGCACUCAGCAAAGGCUUUGUGGGGAAUGACCCUGGACCAUUUAAGGAUAAGAGAAUUUUCUAUUGGCAGAGAUAAAGAAAAGGUCAUUCCAGAGAACGCAGAAGAAGGGACACAAACAAAGGAGGGAAGCAAGAGAGAAUGUGCCAAGGGCUGGGAAUGGCGAGACAACCAUUUUGUCAUGAACAAAAAGCUUGUGUUGUGAUCUACUUAAUGUAUUCAUCCUGACUCUGAAAUUUCCAUAAAGAUACCUUGCCAUGUCUCCCUGUGUAGAAAA